UGCCUGGCCAGGGGAGAGGGCGCGGGGCGGGCGAGCUCUGAGUCCCCAGUGCCAGCUCUGCCCCACGAGACUCCUUGUUCUGACGAUGGGACGGGCUGUGGAGGGGAGAACAGACUGUACCUGAAGGCCAGUGAGGAGCCCCUGGUGAUGAGUGACUGCACCAGGUAGUGGCAAUAGAGACAGCAGAGGUGCCUGGACUCUGGAUGUGUUGCUUCAGUAGGACCAGCCCGGUUUCCUGAUGUGAGGCAGUGAGAGACAGCUAUCAAGGUGAACCUGGGUGUUUGAACUCAGCGGCUUGAUGGAUGGAAGUUCCAUCAACUGAGAUGUGGAAGUUGGUGGCUGGAGCAGGUUCCUGGGAGAAGAUCUGGAGUGGUCUGGUGACAUUUGAGAAUGUGGCUGUGUAUUUCUCCCAGGGGGAGUGUGGAGGCUCCUUAGUGUAACCCAGAGGCACCAGUACUGUGAUGUUGUGUCGGAGAACUUUCAGCUCAUUGGCUCGCUGGGCUCAGCAUGCUGGAAGCUGUUUCUCUAAAGUAGAAUAGUUAUCUGCAGAAGAAGAUGGAGACUUGCUUCCAAAUCUGAGAGAUCUGUGCUGCAAUUCUCCUGUUGCUGCUUCCUGGAGGCUCCAUGUGGUGUCCUGAUUUGCCACAGACACUUCAAGUAUCAUCGAGUCUGCUGGAUCGUGAGGCCCAGGUGGUGAAGCAGACUGUACUGCAGGUGGAACCUGCUUCAGAGCCUUCUCUCCUUCUGGUUCCCACUUAAAACCAGAAGGAUGGUUCAAAGCAGUAGAUUCAGAUGUGGUGUACGUUGCCUCCAAAAUCCAAAAAGGCCUACCAAGCAUUGUGCCUCUUUUUUGGUGGUCAGUGGUGUGAGGGGAGAUUAGAUGGGACAUCUCAACCUACUCAGGCUAUUGAACCCCCAAGAGUGUCACUGAGGCGGCAGGCCCCUGAAUUUUUGUAGGUUUUGUUUCCCACCCUCUCAUUUACAUGUCUUACUAAAGUAUCUAAAAUACUUGCUACUUCUUGCUCACCAGAUCCACUCAGCGUAGUUUAUCAAUGAAGUGGACCAAUGUGAUGUUUACGCAGUGUCAAGAUGGUCAAGAUCUCUGUGGGCUAUCUUAGGCAGAGAGCAGCAGCAUGUAGUCCUGAGGCAACAGUCUGGAGGUAUACUGUUGGUUCGGUCCAAGCAGGUAAAAGCAAAUGGUUUCUGGUGUUCCUUGUAAUUUGUGUGGAAGAAAAGGCACCAGCCAACUUCAGUAGCUGCAUGCCGAGUGCCAGGGGUUCUGUGAAUUUCUUGUAAUAAAGAUACUAAGUCUGGAACAGCAGGUACAAUUGGAGUCACCACCAGAUUAAAUUUACGAUCAUUCACAGUCAUUGUCCAGGAUGUAUCUGACUUCUGCACAGGCCCAACUAGUGGGUUCAAUGGGAAUGUGGUGGGUCCCGCCACCCUUGCUUCUUUCAAGUCUUUGAUAGUGGCAUUAAUCUCUGCAGUUCCUCCAGGGAUGCAAUCUUGCUUUCGGUUUACUGUUUUGGCAGGGAGUGGAAGCUUCAGGGGCUUCUAUUUAGCCCUCCUUAGCAUAAUGGCUCUUACCCCAUGGCUCAGCAACGUGAUAUAGGGAUUCUGCCAGUGACUAAGUGUGCCUGUUCCAAUUAUAUACUCAGCAACUGGGGAAGUGACCAGAGAGUGGGCCUGUUGACCAACUGGGCUCACUGGGAGUUGGACCUGAGCUAAUACUCAUUUAUCACCUGACCACCAUAGGCCUCCACUUUAACUCCUGGGCCACUGUGUUUUUGAGUUUCAGGAGUUAGUAUCAGUUCAGAGCUUGUGUCUAGUAAUCCUGAAGGGUCUGAGCACAACCUUUUCCCCAAUUCACAGUCACUCUAAUAAAUGGUUGCAGUUCCCUUUGGGGAGGGCUUGGAGGAAGAUUGAUGGUAUAUACUUUUGACAAUAGGGCAGGGUCCUUUCUCAAGGGGACCUGGCCUCCUCUCCAGGGUUCUGGGCUGUGAAUUGACUCAGGUCUGGAAACUGAGGCUGUGACUCUCCACCGUGGCAAACUAAGUCAGGCUUUUGGCACCAGAUGUGGAGCCUUUAUUAAUACAUAGAUCAUGCACUGCUCAGUUAGGCUGACCAUGUCUUUUUUCCCAAGGAACACUGUAAUCAACUGACCUGCCAAAGACCUCCACGGGCCAAGGCACUCUGAUUGCCUGUACAUCCUGCUGCCUGUUAAGGCGAUGUGCCACCUUGUAAUUGGUAGUUAAGUGCUGCCACUUGGCCUCUGCUACUCAUGGGCCCAUCCCAUGGAAAUCAGAGAGCCCAUCUCAAUGGCAGCAUCUCCUGCAGUCAUAGCUGCUCACGAAAGAGCAACCACAGGGAUUUUCCAGGCUGCAGGUCCC